GCAACGAGCGCAACCCUUGAUCUUAGUUGCCAGCAUUAAGUUGGGCACUCUAAGGUGACUGCCGGUGACAAACCGGAGGAAGGUGGGGAUGACGUCAAAUCAUCAUGCCCCUUAUGACCUGGGCUACACACGUGCUACAAUGGAUGGUACAAAGGGCAGCGAAACCGCAAGGUCAAGCAAAUCCCAUAAAACCAUUCUCAGUUCGGAUUGUAGGCUGCAACUCGCCUAUAUGAAGCCGGAAUCGCUAGUAAUCGCGGAUCAGCAUGCCGCGGUGAAUACGUUCCCGGGUCUUGUACACACCGCCCGUCACACCACGAGAGUUGGUAACACCCGAAGUCGGUGAGGUAACCUUUUGGAGCCAGCCGCCGAAGGUGGGACCAAUGAUUGGGGUGAAGUCGUAACAAGGUAGCCGUAUCGGAAGGUGCGGCUGGAUCACCUCCUUUCUA
rnacentral:rRNA from 1 species